rnacentral:rRNA from 1 species
CAGUCGCCGCGGGAAUACGUAGGGUGCGAGCGUUAAUCGGAAUUACUGGGCGUAAAGCGUGCGCAGGCGGUUCGUUAAGACAGAUGUGAAAUCCCCGGGCUCAACCUGGGAACUGCAUUUGUGACUGGCAAGCUAGAGUAUGGCAGAGGGGGGUGGAAUUCCGCGUGUAGAGGUGAAAUUCGUAGAGAUGUGGAGGAACACCAGUGGCGAAGGCGACUCUCUGGUCUGUAACUGACGCUGAGGAGCGAAAGCGUGGGGAGCAAAUGGGAUUAGAGACCCCCGUAGUCCCUGUCUCUUAUAC